rnacentral:rRNA from 1 species
UACGAAGGGGGCUAGCGUUGCUCGGAAUCACUGGGCGUAAAGCGCACGUAGGCGGAUUGCUAAGUCAGGGGUGAAAUCCUGGAGCUCAACUCCAGAACUGCCUUUGAUACUGGCGACCUUGAGUCCGGGAGAGGUGAGUGGAACUGCGAGUGUAGAGGUGAAAUUCGUAGAUAUUCGCAAGAACACCAAUGGCGAAGGCAGCUCUCUGGGACGGUACUGACGCUGAGACGCGAAAGCGUGGGGAGCGAACAGG